rnacentral:lncRNA from 1 species
UAACACUGCCACGACUCCAAGUGAAAUUAUUUAAUAAAAAAAUAUAUAUAUAGCUUUAAAUUUUCGGCAGCAUGCCNNNNNNNNNNNNNNNNNNNNUUCCUCUAAUGACUCAACUGUCUUGUUGUUAUUAUUAACAGCUUUCGCACUUCUGGGUUGUACACCAUCACGAGCAUAUUUAUUCAAACGCAAGUCCGUAAACAUACGCUUCCAUAACUGGGUUCGUUUCUCUAGCUGAACUACGAUGGAGUUUACUUCUAUCGGAUGAAAUCUCUUAAGCGACAAAAACAACUCGCGUUCUUCUACUUUUAAACAAGGAAGUUUGUGCUUGUAAUGUUGCUCAAAUAAAUUCAUCAGCUUCCUCGAGCAUUUUCUUAACGUUGAGUCCACCCGAGAUUGUAAAACCGGCUCCGUCGUUCCACCAUGAAACUUAAGUAAGAAACCUUUCGGAAU